UGGGAAAGAAUAUGAAGGUGCCUGAGGA
rnacentral:piRNA from 1 species